rnacentral:rRNA from 1 species
UACAGAGGGUGCGAGCGUUAAUCGGAAUUACUGGGCGUAAAGCGUGCGCAGGCGGUUCGUCGUGUCCGAUGUGAAAGCCCCGGGCUCAACCUGGGAAUGGCAUUGGAAACUGGCGGACUCGAGUGUGGCAGAGGGGGGUGGAAUUCCGCGUGUAGCAGUGAAAUGCGUAGAGAUGCGGAGGAACACCGAUGGCGAAGGCAGCCCCCUGGGCUAACACUGACGCUCAGGCACGAAAGCGUGGGGAGCAAACAGG